rnacentral:rRNA from 1 species
AAUAUUGCACAAUGGGCGAAAUCCUGAUGCAGCAACGCCGCGUGAGUUAUGAAUGCCUUCGGUUCGUAAAGCUUUUUUAUCAGAGAAGUUAAUGACAGUACCUGAAAAACAAGCUACGCCUAACUACGAUUCAGCAGCCUCGGUAAUACGUAGGUGGCGAGCGUUGUCCGGAAUUACUGGGCGUAAAGGAUGCGUAGGUGGAUACUUAAGUGGGAUGUGAAAUCCCCGGGCUCAACCCGGGAACUGCAUUCCAAACUGGGUAUCUAGAGUGCAGGAGAGGAAAGCAGAAUUCCUAGUGUAGCGGUGAAAUGCGUAGAUAUGAGGAGGAACACCAGUGGCGAAGGCAGCUUUCUGGACUGUAACUGACACUGAGGCAUGAAAGCGUGGGUAGCAAACAGG